AAGGUUAUGUGUGACCGCCCAGUAAAUUGUGAAACCCACUCUGCUUCACUUGGGUUUCCUACUUUUCUGCCAUCUUUCUGCUUGGUGACUGAAAGGUGAGUACUCCGCCCUUUGUAUCUUAUCUCCUUCUUUAGAUUUGUGUGGUUUCAUUAAUGCACUGCAGCGGGCUUGGCAGCUUUUAACUACACUACCUAAUGGUUUAUAUGUGACUAAUUUCUUAUUCUAUGAAUCAUCUGCAUUCAAUGGUUUCGUUAAGGGGUUCAAAAAAGAAAAAAAGUUAAAAAAGAUUAUGAAUUAAACCAAUGAUCUUACAAAGGUUUUGAACCCCCUGACUAUCAAGUUAUGUUUUUGGGCCAUGGUAAGGAAUUCAAAACAUGAUAUAUAGAGGUAGUAUAUAAAUUUUGCCCGAAGGAAUUUGGGUGAAACCCUUUUGCUCCCCUAAAUAUGCCCAUGUCUGUAUCCCUUUUGUUUGAUUUAGUCAUAGCCUCAGAGGAUGCAUUGUAAUGUAAUAGUUGCCGUCCAAUAGAGAAAUUAGAUUUGAGUUCCAUCUUGUUGAAAUUUCAUGGUAUUUUAUCGAUAUUUUGUCUUUUCC
rnacentral:lncRNA from 1 species